rnacentral:rRNA from 1 species
UACACACCGCCCGUCACACCAUGGGAGUGAAUUGCUCCAGAAGUCGUUUGGUCCAACCGCAAGGAGGACCGCGCCCAAGGAGUGAUUCGUAACUGGGGUG